rnacentral:rRNA from 1 species
AUUGAACGCUGGCGGCAUGCCUUACACAUGCAAGUCGAACGGUAACAGGUCUUCGGAUGCUGACGAGUGGCGAACGGGUGAGUAAUACAUCGGAACGUGCCCAGACGUGGGGGAUAACGAGGCGAAAGCUUUGCUAAUACCGCAUACGAUCUAAGGAUGAAAGCAGGGGACCGCAAGGCCUUGCGCGUUUGGAGCGGCCGAUGGCAGAUUAGGUAGUUGGUGGGAUAAAAGCUUACCAAGCCGACGAUCUGUAGCUGGUCUGAGAGGACGACCAGCCACACGGGGAAUGGGACACGGCCCAGACCCAUAGGGGAGGCAGGAGGGGGGAAUUUGGGAAAAGGGGCGAAAGCCGGACCCAGAAAUGCCGGGGGCAGGAGGAAGGCUUUGGGGUGGUAAACUGCUUUUGUACGGAACAAAAAGGCUCUGGCUAAUACCGGGGGAAAAUGACGGUCCCGAAAAAAUAAGCCCCGGCUAACUACGG